rnacentral:misc_RNA from 1 species
GAUGAAGAACGUAGCGAAAUGCGAUACUUGGUGUGAAUUGCAGAAUCCCGUGAACCAUCGAGUCUUUGAACGCAAGUUGUGCCCGAAGCCAUCAGGUUGAGGGCACGUCUGCCUGGGCGUCACAUAUCGUUGCCCAAUGCCUAUUGCAGUGCAAUAGGAAUUUCUAGGGCGAAUGAUGGCUUCCCGUGAGCGUUGUUGCCUCGCGGUUGGUUGAAAAUCGAGUCCUUGGUAGGGUGUGCCAUGGUAGAUGGUGGUCGAGUUAGAACGAUACCGAUCAUGUGCAUGCUCCCCAAAAUAUGGCCUCUAUGACCCACACGCGUCUUUUGACGCUCAUGACGAGACCUCAGGUCAGGCGGGGCUACCCGCUGAAUUUAAGCAUAUCAAUAAGCGGAGG